CUACGGGCGGCUCCAGUGAGGAAUAUUGCACAAUGGAGGAAACUCUGAUGCAGCAACGCCGCGUGGAGGAUGACGCAUUUCGGUGUGUAGACUCCUUUUAUAUGUCAAGAAAAUGACGGUAGCAUAUGAAUAAGCACCGGCUAACUCCGUGCCAGCAGCCGCGGUAAUACGGAGGGUGCAAGCGUUACUCGGAAUCACUGGGCGUAAAGGACGCGUAGGCGGGAUAUCAAGUCAGGUGUGAAAUCCUACAGCUUAACUGUAGAACUGCACUUGAAACUGGUAACCUAGAGUAUGGGAGGGGGAGAUGGAAUUAGUGGUGUAGGGGUAAAAUCCGUAGAUAUCACUAGGAAUACCUAAAGCGAAGGCGAUCUCCUGGAACAUAACUGACACUAAGGCGUGAAAGCGUGGGGAGCAAACAGGAUUAGAUACCCUAGUAGUC
rnacentral:rRNA from 1 species